GACAGAGGGGGCAAGCGUUGCUCGGAAUUACUGGGCGUAAAGGGCGCGUAGGCGGGAUGGCAAGUCGGUCGUGAAAUCCCUCGGCUCAACCGAGGAACGUCGAUCGAUACUGCUGUUCUUGAGGAUUGCAGAGGAGACUGGAAUUCCCGGUGUAGCGGUGAAAUGUGUAGAGAUCGGGAGGAACACCGGUGGCGAAGGCGGGUCUCUGGGGCAAUUCCUGACGCUGAGGUGCGAAAGCCAGGGGAGCAAACGGG
rnacentral:rRNA from 1 species